rnacentral:rRNA from 1 species
GUGGGGAAUUUUGGACAAUGGGCGCAAGCCUGAUCCAGCAAUGCCGCGUGCAGGAUGAAGGCCUUCGGGUUGUAAACUGCUUUUGUACGGAGCGAAAAGGUCUCUUCUAAUACAGGAGGCCCAUGACGGUACCGUAAGAAUAAGCACCGGCUAACUACGUGCCAGCAGCCGCGGUAAUACGUAGGGUGCAAGCGUUAAUCGGAAUUACUGGGCGUAAAGCGUGCGCAGGCGGUGUUGUAAGACAGAGGUGAAAUCCCCGGGCUCAACCUGGGAACUGCCUUUGUGACUGCAACGCUAGAGUACGGCAGAGGGGGAUGGAAUUCCGCGUGUAGCAGUGAAAUGCGUAGAUAUGCGGAGGAACACCGAUGGCGAAGGCAAUCCCCUGGGCCUGUACUGACGCUCAUGCACGAAAGCGUGGGGAGCAAACAGGAUUAGAUACCCUGGUAGUCC